rnacentral:lncRNA from 1 species
UCCCUUCGUUGUGAUACCAACCGAACAAACUGAUCAAGCAAUCAUAGAUUGAUUCUCUUAAUUAGUUGCAGCUCCAUGUCCGUGCCCAGCAAAGAGGCAGAUGCACCCUCGGCCACCAAUCCAUCGCCCCACGGACCUGAAGCUGCCGGCCGGGCAGGCGACUCCUCCAACCCUGAAUCAGCACGAGAUGCUCCAGAUUGGUUAGUACUCUAAUCAAUCCACAACAUCCUCUCCAGAUUGGUUGUUCCGGCUAGCACAACACCUUGAGGCUCGUGAACCCACUUCCCAGUACAACACCAUGGCACUUUUUAU